rnacentral:rRNA from 1 species
UUAAAAAGCUCGUAGUUGAAUUUCGGGGUUAGUAGGUUGGUCAUGCCUCCGGUAUGUACUGGUCUCACUGAUUCCUCCUUCCUGAUGAGCCGUAAUGCCAUUAAUUUGGUGUUUUGGGGAAUUUGGACUGUUACUUUGAAAAAAUUAGAGUGUUUAAAGCAAGCUAACGCUUGAAUACAUUAGCAUGGAAUAAUGAAAUAGGACGUUCGAUCCUAUUUUGUUGGUUUCUAGGAUUGACGUAAUGAUUAAUAGGGAUAGUUGGGGG